CAGGGGGCCUACCGGCUAAUUCGCCGAACUUCGGCGACUUGAAAACGAUUCAGAUAAAUCGAAGUUCGGCGUUUGGUACCGGGUAAUUUCCGAUGUUCAUUGCAAUCUGGAUGAAAAUCAAUCCAUAGAUAAUAAUAGACAUAUUAGAGGGGUGCAUGAUUGAACGAAUGACUUUUGGUCUUGCGUUCCGUUGAGACAUUUGGUAAACAUUUAAUAUUUUAUAUCAUUAUGAAAUUAAAAAAUACAGACUAAUUUUGUAUGUUAUUUUUAUUAAUUGAUAAUAUUUUUAGUUAAUCACUUUGUAAAGUCUUACAAAUGUUUAAAACAAAAGGAAAAUGCAACGACGGAUUUUUCUUUUGCAACUGAAGUAAUGAAACGCAAAAAAAAAAGAAAAAUGACGUUAUGUUAUAUCAGCUGACAUACUUGAAUUCGCGCCGAAUGCAACAGUUUUAUCUUCUCAGAAUUUAUACAAUAACAACAAUAACGAAAGAAAUAUCACCGAUUUACUACCUACUAGAUCUAGAGAGUCGGAGGCUAGACAUGGAGGAGCGACUUGUUUCAGCAGUUAACAAGCUGGCUGGCUACAGCUGCUGAAGCUAAUAGCAAGGCCGCGGAUAUGCAAACAGAGUUGCUUCGGCUGCUGCUGGAGGAAGCUAGGUGAAGACCAAUAUAAGGUUAAAGAAUAGCAA